ensembl:lncRNA PSMD14-DT PSMD14 divergent transcript
GCCAUCAGGAGGACUGAAACUGUAAACACAAGCUGGUAUUUUGGUGUGAUCACGCUAAUAUGGCGGUUUGUGAGGUCAAGGGGUGGAAGUUACAGGUAGGCAAUAUAUCUUUAACCAAAGUUGUGCUAGAUGGGGUCUUCAAGGUUAUUUGGAUUUUGAUGUACUAAGAAAAUAUCCUCAGUAGAAAAAUACCAGAAAUGGCAUUCCAACUCACCCUACCAAGGACAAGAAGCAGAUCAUUAGGAACAGAUAUAUUGGAGCUUGGCCCUGUAAAAACAUAGGAUAGCUAACAAAUACAUAAAAUUAGUUGUAUGGCCUCAUUUAUUCCUUCAUAGAGAUACAGGUACAACUAAUUUGACAGGCAGUAUGAUAAGGAACAAUCUGAAUGACACGUAAACAGGAGGGGGUAAAUUCCAAGCACAGCCUGAAUGAGAAGUACAACUCAUUUCCUGUAACCUAGAUGCCUUUUUAACACAUCUAUGCAGUCUCCAUGUGAAACCAGGUGCUGUUCCCAAAGGAGAAAACACUGCCCUCCAGUGGUCUUCAAUGAAGAAAUGGAAAUAGUUUCAGGUGGAAACCAGGCUUCUUGGAAGACUUCAAACUAUGCCAAAUGGUCUGAUUUCACCAUAGAGAAUGUUAUACUAUUAAUUGCCAAUUUGCAUAUGUGUGCAGCUGCUGUUUUGGCUCUGAACUCAAUCCGAUAAGCUUGCUGGAGGUAUCGCAGAGCACUUGGCAGCUUUCCUAUUUGAAAAGAAAGCCUCUCCCCUCUACAGAACAGCUGAUCGUCUAUCAGCGAUAGACCCUGAUGGCGUGAAU